UACAGAGGGUGCAAGCGUUAAUCGGAAUUACUGGGCGUAAAGCGUGCGUAGACGGUUACAUAAGUCGGAUGUGAAAGCCCCGGGCUCAACCUGGGAAUUGCAUUCGAGACUGUGUAGCUAGGAUGCGGAAGAGGGAAGCGGAAUUUCCGGUGUAGCGGUGAAAUGCGUAGAUAUCGGAAGGAACACCAGUGGCGAAAGCGGCUCCCUGGUCCAGCAUCGACGUUCAGGCACGAAAGCGUGGGGAGCAAACAGG
rnacentral:rRNA from 1 species